rnacentral:rRNA from 1 species
ACCAGUUGUCGUGCCAACGGCAUAGCUGGGUAGCUAUGUGUGGACGGGAUAAGUGCUGAAAGCAUCUAAGCAUGAAGCCCCCCUCAAGAUGAGAUUUCCCAACUUCGGUUAUAAGAUCCCUCAAAGAUGAUGAGGUUAAUAGGUUCGAGGUGGAAGCAUGGUGACAUGUGGAGCUGACGAAUACUAAUCGAUCGAAGACUUAAUCAA